AGGACGAACGCUGGCGGCGUGCUUAACACAUGCAAGUCAAGGGGGCCCAGCAAUGGGCAACCGGCGAACGGGUGCGUAACACGUGAGCAACCUACCGAAAUGUGGGGGAUAGCCGGCCUAACGGCCGAGUAAUACCGCAUACGCUCUCGAUGAGGCAUUUCAUUGAGAGAAACCUACGGGACAUUUCGAGGGCUCGCGGCCUAUCAGCUAGUUGGCGAGGUAACGGCUCACCAAGGCAACGGACGGGUAGC
rnacentral:rRNA from 1 species